ACUCUAUCAAAAGCAGACAAGAAAGGCCAAUGAGAGAAGCGUCUUACUGGGCCUAAUGCUUCGACCUCCCAAUAAGGAGGUCUUCUUGCCUCAGUCUCCUGGGAUUAAAGGCAUGUACUACCUUGCCUGGGCCCAAGCUUUUCAUGGCCACUGUGCCUCAAGAUCUCCAUGUCAAGAUCCAGGUCAGAAACUUGUGUCUUCCAGCCUCAAGAUCUGGAUCACAGUUCAUUCCAGAUAUCGUCAAGCUGACAAGGAAUAGCCAUCACAGUCCUCCUACCUCUGCUUCUCGAAUGGCGUGGGAUUCCAGAGGUGAGCUAGGCUCUUCUCACCAUGUUCUAUGAGGCUCAAAUCUUUAAUUUCCUGAAGAAAACUCAUCUAAUACUUGACUCAGUAUCCUUCACUUUGUAUAGAAGGCGGAGCUGAUAGCAGAAGUCCUUGGAGAGGAGGGCUAGUGAGGUGACUCAGCAGGUGAAGAUGCUGGCUGCCCUACCAAACUACUAGUCCGUGUGGGACUGUCCUCGGGGCGAUGCGGAAGUGCCUGCACUGCCGGAGGCGCUAGCUGAUGGAGGCCAACACCAAAGAAUGACCAUCAUCUCCCCCACCAACGCUGGCGAACCUUUCUCUUUUCUCCUGGGUAAUAAUACUGUGUCCCAGGCUUGCUCAGCGGGUGGCCAUAGGAGUCUGGGAGACCCGGUCCAGUGGACAGGGUUUUGGGGUUCCGCUUAGAGUUGCUUCAGUCUAUAGAAAGCUGAGCCGGGCUCUGCCUCUUCUAUCGCAUGACCCCCACCCGGUGGUGGUGUCCCCAAGAGGAGAUCACCCGGAUUCCCCCCACCCCCUUCUACCUCUGCGCAGAGGGAACGCUGCUACUUUCGGAGUUGUACUCCUUGGUCCGGGAUAUUCCUAGACCCUGCGCCUGAGGGGCUGGGAGCGCAGCGCUUUGUUAUUCAGCCGGAAAGAUGCCCCAAGAAUUAAAAGACUUUAUAAAAUGUAGGUUGACUACACCACCUGCACCUGCCUUCAUUGUUGCUCUCUCACAGAAUUUCAGAAAUGCGCUAGGCCUCCUGGUGCAUGCCUAUAAUCCGAAGGCAGGACUCCUGGGGUUUGAGGCCCUGUGACACGUAGAAAGACCUUGUUUCAAGAAAUUUAGAAAUACCAGCAUAUUAAAGACGCCUCCCCCCCCCCAAAAAAAAGACAUAUCCAAAACUAUGGGUCUUUGGGCUUUUGUACGACUCCUAUUAGGAGUUACGAACACGUGUGAAAUUACCUCAGAUAGGGGACCAAAAACAAACGAAACAACAUUGCUCCUAAAUCCAACUUGUUGAGCAAAUAAGUAAAUUACAGUCUGGGAACUGAUACUCUCAGAAGAGGGGGGAAAAUCACAUCUAUAUUAAAGAUUUUGCAAUACCAA
rnacentral:lncRNA from 1 species